rnacentral:rRNA from 1 species
UUGAUGACUCUCGGCAACGGAUAUCUUGGCUCUUGCAUCGAUGAAGAACGCAGCGAAAUGCGAUAAGUGGUGUGAAUUGCAGAAUCCCGCGAACCAUCGAGUCUUUGAACGCAAGUUGCGCCCGAGGCCAUCAGGCUAAGGGCACGCCUGCCUGGGCGUCGUGU